AUUGAACGCUGGCGGAAUGCUUUACACAUGCAAGUCGAACGGUAGAGGGGGCAACCCCUCGAGAGUGGCGAACGGGUGAGUAAUAUAUCGGAACGUGCCCAGUCGUGGGGGAUAACGUAGCGAAAGUUACGCUAAUACCGCAUACGAUCUACGGAUGAAAGCGGGGGACCGUAAGGCCUCGCGCGAUUGGAGCGGCCGAUAUCAGAUUAGGUAGUUGGUGGGGUAAAGGCUCACCAAGCCAACGAUCUGUAGCUGGUCUGAGAGGACGACCAGCCACACUGGAACUGAGACACGGUCCAGACUCCUACGGGAGGCAGCAGUGGGGAAUUUUGGACAAUGGACGCAAGUCUGAUCCAGCCAUUCCGCGUGCAGGAUGAAGGCCCUCGGGUUGUAAACUGCUUUUGUACGGAACGAAAAGGUUUCCAUUAAUACUGGGAGCUCAUGACGGUACCGUAAGAAUAAGCACCGACUAACUACGUGCCAGCAGCCGCCGCUG
rnacentral:rRNA from 1 species